AUUGCCCUUACGGCUCAGUAACACGUGGAUAACAUGCCCUAAGGUGGGGGAUAAUCUCGGGAAACUGAGGAUAAUACCCCAUAGGUCUGAUAUGCUGGAAUGCUUUCAGGCCGAAAACUCCGGUGCCUUAGGAUUGGUCUGCGGUCUAUCAGGCUGUAGUGGGUGUAACGGACCCACUAGCCCGUGACGGAUAUGGGCCUUGAGAGAGGGAGCCCAGAGAUGGACUCUGAGACAUGAGUCCAGGCCCUACGGGGCGCAGCAGUCGCGAAAACUUCGCAAUGGGGGCAACCCCGACGAGGGAAUUCCAAGUGCCAGCACUUUGUGUUGGCUGUUCUCCUGUCUAAAAAACAGGAGGAGUAAGGGGCGGGUAAGACGGGUGCCAGCCGCCGCGGUAAUACCCGCGCCCCUAGUGGUGGUCGAUAUUAUUGAGCCUAAAACGUCCGUAGCCGGUCUUCUAAAUCCUUGGGUAAAUCGGGCAGCUUAACUGUCCGAAGUCCGGGGAGACUGGAAGACUUGGGACCGGGAGAGGUCAGAGGUACUUCUGGGGUAGGGGUAAAAUCCUGUAACCCUGGAAGGACCACCGGUGGCGAAGGCGUCUGACUAGAACGGAUCCGACGGUGAGGGACGAAGCCCUGGGGCGCAAACGGGAUUAGAUACCCCGGUAGUCCAGGGUGUAAACGCUGCGGGCUUGGUGUUGGGGGUCCUUAGUGGGCGCCCAGUGCCGGAGAGAAGUUGUUAAGCCUGCUGCUUGGGGAGUAUGUCCGCAAGGAUGAAACUUAAAGGAAUUGGCGGGGGAGCAC
rnacentral:rRNA from 1 species